CCUACGGGAGGCAGCAGUGAGGAAUAUUGGUCAAUGGGCGAGAGCCUGAACCAGCCAAGUCGCGUGAGGGAGUACUGCCCUAUGGGUUGUAAACCUCUUUUGCCGGGGAGCAAAAGCCGGACGUGUCCGGAUGUGAGAGUACCCGAAGAAAAAGCAUCGGCUAACUAAGUGCCAGCAGCCGCGGUAAUACGGGGGAUGCGAGCGUUAUCCGGAUCUAUUGGGUUUAAAGGGUGCGCAGGCGGAUUUCUAAGGCAGCGGUCAAAUCGUGGGGCUCAACCCCAUCCAGUCGUUGAAACUGGGGGUCUGGAGUGUGCGAGAGGUAUGCGGAAUGCGUGGUGUAGCGGUGAAAUGCAUAGAUAUCACGCAGAACCCCGAUUGCGAAGGCAGCAUACCGGUGCGCAACUGACGUUCAGGCUCGAAAGCGUGGGUAUCGAACAGGAUUAGAUACCCUAGUAGUC
rnacentral:rRNA from 1 species